rnacentral:rRNA from 1 species
UACGUAGGGUGCGAGCGUUGUCCGGAAUUAUUGGGCGUAAAGAGCUCGUAGGCGGUCUGUCGCGUCGAUCGUGAAAACUUGGGGCUUAACCCUGAGCUUACGGUCGAUACGGGCAUGACUGGAGUUCGGCAGGGGAGACUGGAAUUCCUGGUGUAGCGGUGAAAUGCGCAGAUAUCAGGAGGAACACCGGUGGCGAAGGCGGGUCUCUGGGCCGAUACUGACGCUGAGGAGCGAAAGCGUGGGGAGCGAACAGG